rnacentral:rRNA from 1 species
GAUGAACGCUGGCGGCGCGCUUAACACAUGCAAGUCGAACGGAAAGGCCCAAGCUUGCUUGGGUACUCGAGUGGCGAACGGGUGAGUAACACGUGGGUGAUCUGCCCUGCACUUCGGGAUAAGCCUGGGAAACUGGGUCUAAUACCGGAUAGGACGAUGGUUUGGAUGCCAUUGUGGAAAGUUUUUUCGGUGUGGGAUGAGCUCGCGGCCUAUCAGCUUGUUGGUGGGGUAAUGGCCUACCAAGGCGUCGACGGGUAGCCGGCCUGAGAGGGUGUACGGCCACAUUGGGACUGAGAUACGGCCCAGACUCCUACGGGAGGCAGCAGUGGGGAAUAUUGCACAAUGGGCGCAAGCCUGAUGCAGCGACGCCGCGUGGGGGAUGACGGCCUUCGGGUUGUAAACUCCUUUCGCUAGGGACGAAGCGUUUUUGUGACGGUACCUGGAGAAGAAGCACCGGCUAACUACGUG